rnacentral:rRNA from 1 species
UACGUAGGUGGCAAGCGUUGUCCGGAUUUACUGGGCGUAAAGAGCGCGCAGGCGGUCGUUCAAGUCGCGUGUGAAAGCCCCCGGCUCAACUGGGGAGGGUCACGCGAUACUGAUCGACUCGAAGGCAGGAGAGGGAAGUGGAAUUCCCGGUGUAGUGGUGAAAUGCGUAGAUAUCGGGAGGAACACCAGUGGCGAAGGCGAGUCCCUGGACAACACCUGACACUGAGGCACGAAAGCUAGGGGAGCAAACAGG